CGUUAGCGGCGACGGGUGAGUAACACUGGGUAACCUACCUAUAAGACUGGGACAACUUCGGGAAACCGGAGCUAAUACCGGAUAAGAUAUCGAACCGCAUGGUUCGAUAGUGAAAGAUGGUUUUGCUAUCACUUAUAGAUGGACCCGCGCCGUAUUACCUAGUUGGUGAGGUAACGGCUCACCAAGGCAACGAUACGUAGCCGACCUGAGAGGGUGAUCGGCCACACUGGAACUGAGACACAGUCCAGACUCCUACGGGAGGCAGCAGUU
rnacentral:rRNA from 1 species